AUGGCCAGGUAUUCAGUUCUCCCAUGCAUUUCUGAACAGUGGACAUGCGAGUUGUCUUUACUCAUUUCUGGAAGAGCGGGCUUCAUUGCAAGAUACUUACCUGGACGGGGUCAACGGGUGAUCAAGAAGGCUCGUGGCCUAGAUCAAUGGCUCACAUUGCACUUGGUGAGUGUGUUGGUCUACCAUCUCUCCAAGUGGGAGAGUGGACGUCGUAAUUUGUGA
rnacentral:rRNA from 1 species